GCCUUCGUGGUGCAGUGGUCAGCACGCUCGGUGCGUAUUCAAGAGGUCAGUGGUUCGAGUCCCGGCGAGGGCA
rnacentral:tRNA from 1 species